AUUAAUAUGAUUAUAAAACCAUGAUUUUUAUAUCGAACUGAGGAAGUACAUGCAGGAUAUAUUGUUAAUUAGGAAUUCUUCGUUUAUGAUCUAAC
rnacentral:snoRNA from 1 species